GCAAGCAUAGUUUAGACCCAAACAUCAGACUGUGAUCCUGAAAAUAGAAGUUAAACCCUUCUUGCUCGCC
rnacentral:tRNA from 2 species